UACGUAGGUGGCAAGCGUUGUCCGGAUUUACUGGGCGUAAAGGAUGCGUAGGCGGAUGUUUAAGUGAGAUGUGAAAUACCCGAGCUCAACUUGGGUGCUGCAUUUCAAACUGGAUAUCUAGAGUGCAGGAGAGGAAAGCGGAAUUCCUAGUGUAGCGGUGAAAUGCGUAGAGAUUAGGAAGAACACCAGUGGCGAAGGCGGCUUUCUGGACUGUAACUGACGCUGGAGGCAUGAAAGCGUGGGGAGCAAACAGG
rnacentral:rRNA from 1 species